GAGAGCCCUUGUACUCAGCUAAAGUCUGCUGGGGACCAUGUGCUAAUGGGGUGGACAUGCAGAACCAGUGACAGCCAGGUUACUCAUCAACAGAGAAAGUGUCUACACAAUGUCUCUUUAGUGGGGCAACGACACCCGAAACAUCACCCUCACCCGUGGCCAGGAAAGGCAGGGGACACAGGCACAGCCCCCUGGGUGGCCACCCCUGGUCACAGUGCCUGAGCUGGAUGAGCUCAUAAUGCAGGUAGCGUCCAUGCCAGGGCUCUGCCGGUUAGGAGACAGAGGUACCAGGAAGAGUUCUCCAUCCAGAGGGCUUCCAGUGGGGGCUGUGAAUGCUAGGAUGGUGGGAGCCCUCUCUCCUGGGAAGAAAGCCUGUGUCCAAGAUGAAGUCCAAGGGACAGAGAUAUCCCAUGAGAUCCGUCAGUGUCUGCGGAUCUUUUGCAGUCCACAAUCACAGAUAUUGUGGUUUUCCAGUCCUGAAACAUCGAUACGGUCUGAUAGAGUCAGAGGCACGGUGCUUGGCGGGUAGCGAGGAAGACUUUGGUGACGUAAGCAGAACGUGGUCCACGCCUCCGUCUCCGAGGGGAAAGGCAGGCGCAGCAUCAGACACGGGUGGCAGUGAGUCCCAGCGGGACAGACAGUCUUGGGUGGAAAUAAAGAGUUACUAGAUACUGUAA